rnacentral:rRNA from 1 species
UACGUAGGGGGCAGUCGUUAAUCGGAAUUACUGGGCGUAAAGCGUGCGCAGGCGGUUUCUUACGUCCGAUGUGAAAGCCCCGGGCUUAACCUGGGAACUGCGUUUGAAACUGGGAGACUUGAGUGUGGCAGAGGGGGGUGGAAUUCCACGUGUAGCAGGGAAAUGCGUAGAUAUGUGGAGGAACACCGAUGGCGAAGGCAGCCCCCUGGGUUAACACUGACGCUCAUGCACGAAAGCGUGGGGAGCAAACAGG